GACGAACGCUGGCGGCGUGCUUAACACAUGCAAGUCGAACGGAAAGGCCCUGCUUUUGUGGGGUGCUCGAGUGGCGAACGGGUGAGUAACACGUGAGUAACCUGUCCUUGACUUUGGGGUAACUUCAGGAAACUGGGGCUCAUACCGGAUAGGAGCUCCUGCUGCAUGGUGGGGGUUGGAAAGUUUCGGCGGUUGGGGAUGGACUCGCGGCUUAUCAGCUUGUUGGUGGGGUAGUGGCUUACCAAGGCUUUGACGGGUAGCCGGCCUGGGAGGGUGAACGGCCACCUUAGGCCUGGGAUACGACCCAGACUCGUACCGGAGGCAACGGUGGAGAGUAUUGCACAAUAGGCGGGAGCCUGAUGCGACAACGCCGCGUUCGGGAUGACGGGCUUCGAGUUGUGAACCACUUUCGCCUGUGACGAAGCGUUAGUGACGGUAAUGGGUAAAGAAGCACCGGCUAACUACGUG
rnacentral:rRNA from 1 species